CUAACAUACGCGUCAUUAUACGCGUAUAAUAGACAUAACAGAAAUAAAACAGCUAACAUACGCGUCAUUGUACGCGUAUAAUAGACUUGACAGAAAUAAAACAGCUAACAUACGCGUCAUUUGACGCGUAUUAUAGCAAAUAUUAACCAUCAUAACCCACACAUAGAAGACGCAAAUUCUCUCAAAGAAAUUCCAUUUCUUAAUUUUCUGGGUGUUCCUCUAAAUUUCUUGUUUUGAUUUUCGAAAAAGAGGAAAUUCUGAAGCAAUGAUAAAGUUUAUUAUGAUAAUAAACAGUAAUGGGGAUAAAAUUGAUCGAUUUCACAUAUUUCUCUCAAACGUGAUUAUAGUAGUAUUUGUUGGGCGAAGAUUUUAUGGAAUUUGGAAGAUAGUGAGGGGUAAACUUCAUUAUAAGGAGUCAAUUAUGUUCAAGCCUAACAAAAUUAACUAUUUUAAGACUAUACAUUUAAGACGGUUUAAUUUUUAACUUGUUCUUCAUGGGAUGAGGCUGCAGUUAGUUAUGUUCAAUCAUUCCCUGCUCUUAUUGACUGAAUGUAGCACUGAUUACUUCAUCAGGAAUUUAUGGAAGUGAUGACAAUUCGAUAGUGAAGUGGGGGAAAAUGGGCGCUUCAGUUCACAGAACUUCAUGGGCAGAGUUCAAUCAUGACCUGCUCUUCUCGACUGAAUGAGGCACUGAUUACUUAAUGAACCUCCUGUCGAAAUUUUGAAAUAUCAAGUAUCAUAGUCAUGUUCAGUGUUGUGGUUUACGAGGAUAAAGUUUCUGUCUUUGAUACUGGCUCUGGGAUGGAUGGAAGUGAUGAGAAUUCGAUAGUGAAGUGGGGGGAAAUGGGUGCUUCAGUUCACAGACUUGCGAUUGGAGGAAAACCUCGAUAUCUCACGAUUAUCCAACCUAGUAGCAAUCAUAUGUAGAGACUCACAUAUUCUGCAGUAGACAAAGCUAAGCUAUCUUUGGAAAUAUAGAUUAGUGUCUUCACUUAGUUGAGAGACUGCUCUUGGAAAGAGAAUCUAUUUGCCUUUAAUUCCAAGGAGCUUUAUUUUUGAAGCAAACAAAACUACUCUUGGAAAUAGUUUCAUAAAACCAAUACUUUUCAUGAAUUAUGUACAUGGAUUCUUUUGAGGAAGGUGGAUCUUUUGAAUAUUAAAGUUGAGCAUUUACUCAUUUAGUCUAUGUCGUAACCUGAAAGUUAGAUUUAUAACUUUGAGGUUUAUCUGGGCCAUUGUUUAGCUGUGACUUCUUUUUGUUACAUGCUUUCCUUUUUCUUAUUUUGCAGCCUUUUUUUUGGGAUAUAUGGCUAUGGUGGAACUAUUAGGGAUGUAUGAUAAUUACUUCUCCUGCUCUCCUUAUUGUUGAGCAUGGAAUCUCAUUUUUGGCAAUUUUUCUGAAUUCUGUGUCCUAUGCUAGGCAUGCUAUAGUAUCUGCAAAGAUUAAACAGUCUAAGAAAGUUUACUGGCUUCCUUUAAGGAAGGGAUGCGCUAUUAAGGCGGUCUGGGACUGAUCUUAACUAGAAGGCUGCGAGUGGACUUCAAGAUUCAUCAGACAGAGAGAUUGAACUGUCCCCUCAUAUAUGAGAUAGUAAUAGAGGCCCUCCAUACCAUAGGAUUUUAAGUUGCUUGCUUAUCUGGUGAACCUUUUGUCCUUCUCUUACUCUUUCUUCUGUUAUUGAAGAUUCAACCCUAGUAACCAAUGUAGCGAAAGAUAGCAUCCUGAUGCUAUCUCUCCAAAUUGUUGCAUGUGCUAUGUUUGAAAGGUAAUGUGGUUGCUCACGCAUAUUUUCCAUAGGGGAAGGAACAAACAAUGUAGUGAACUUGGAGGAGGUUCUUUGGCAAUUUCCUGAUCUCUUUGCUCUCUAAGUAUAAUCUCCUUGGGCUCUAACAAGUCAAGAAGAAGUGAUCUUGUUCAACUCAACAUUUAGUCUCCUUUUUUUGGGUGGUGAUGUGGGGGGAUAAGUUAGUAUCACUAGUCGAACUCUAUUAACUUUAGAGGAAGCAGUGUGAUAUGGUGAAAUCAGAGUGAUUAAAUCGUGAAAACAUCUUUCAUGAUAGGUUUUACUACUUUGGUGAUAAGACUAUAUAUCCCUUGACCUUCAAGAUGCCACCAGCCUCAAUGAGUAAACGUUGUUGUGGCCGUAUAUGACUUAUGUGAUAGUGCGAUCAAUCAAAAGCACGACAAUAUGGCAAUCACCUUGAAAGAAAGCAUCAAAGUAACUUCUUUUCCUAAAAUCUAUGAGGACAAGAAUACUAGAGGAUUCAAUGAAAGAGAUUUAUAAAUGAUUUUGUUGAUUGUCAGAAAUGAUGCAUUCAUAAAUUGGAGUGGUACAAAUGGAGUACUCUGCCACAGCCAUAGUAGAACAACUAAGAAUCGAAAACUUAGAUGAAGGGCCAGGUGUUGCCCAGUGUUUGGGAGAAUUGUAUCGUCUUUUUGGUAAGAAGAUCACAUCUGGGUUCUCCGAAACAACAAGUAUUGCCUCAAAACUUAUGAAGUCUCACGAGGAGUAUGUGAGAAAAGAGGCUCUUCACAUGCUUCAGAAUGCUAUGGAGGGUUGUGGUGGUGUUGCUGCUGCUACAGCAUGUACAGAGGCAUUUCGACUCAUCAUGCGGUUUGGUGUUGUUGAUAAGUCAUCUAUCGUCAGAAUUGCUGCUGCUAGAUGUUUAAAGACAUUUUGCUAAUGUGGGGGACCUGGUUUAGGGGGUGCAGACCUUGACAGUUCAGCCUCUACUUGUGUCAAGCAGUCCGUGAUGCCUUUGCUGAAGCGUUGGGUGCAGUUCUUGCUCUUGGAAUGAAUCCUGAGGCUCAGGU